AUAACAGUUAGAAAUGACUGCUAAUCCCGCAUAAGCGCACAGGGCCGCAUGGCCCGGUGUGAAAAACUCCGGUGGUAUGAGAUGGACUCGCGUCUGAUUAGCUAGUUGGUGAGGUAACGGCCCACCAAGGCGACGAUCAGUAGCCGGCCUGAGAGGGUGAACGGCCACAUUGGGACUGAGACACGGCCCAAACUCCUACGGGAGGCAGCAGUGGGGAAUAUUGCACAAUGGGGGAAACCCUGAUGCAGCGACGCCGCGUGAGUGAAGAAGUAUUUCGGUAUGUAAAGCUCUAUCAGCAGGGAAGAAAAUGACGGUACCUGACUAAGAAGCCCCGGCUAACUACGUGCCAGCAGCCGCGGUAAUACGUAGGGGGCAAGCGUUAUCCGGAUUUACUGGGUGUAAAGGGAGCGUAGACGGCUUUGCAAGUCUGACGUGAAACUCCGGGGCUCAACUCCGGAACUGCGUUGGAAACUGUAAGGCUUGAGUGCCGGAGAGGUAAGCGGAAUUCCUAGUGUAGCGGUGAAAUGCGUAGAUAUUAGGAGGAACACCAGUGGCGAAGGCGGCUUACUGGACGGCAACUGACGUUGAGGCUCGAAAGCGUGGGGAGCAAACAGGAUUAGAUACCCUGGUAGUCCACGCGGUAAAC
rnacentral:rRNA from 1 species